CUUGGGGCGGGGGCGGCCCUCAGCCCAGAUUGCAAGAGGGUGCAGGUCAAGCUGAGGGACCCCACUGGUGCAUG
rnacentral:pre_miRNA from 1 species